GGCGGCGAGCGGCGGACGGCUGAGUAACGCGUGGGAACAUGCCCCAAAGUGAGGAUAACUGCCCGAAAGGGUAGCUAAUGCCGCAUACGAUCUUCGGAUUAAAGGAUUUAUCCGCUUGGGAGUGGCCUACGUACGAUUAGAUAGUUGGUGAGGUAAUGGCUCACCAAGUCUACGGAUCGUUAACUGGUUUGAGAGGAUGAUCAGUCAGACUGGAACUGAGACACGGUCCAGACUCCUACGGGAGGCAGCAGUGAGGAAUCUUCCACAAUGGACGAAAGUCUGAUGGAGCAACUCCGCGUGCAGGAUGAAGGCCUCCGGGUCGUAAACUGCUUUUAUGAGUGAAGAAUAUGACGGUAACUCAUGAAUAAGGGUCGGCUAACUACGUG
rnacentral:rRNA from 1 species